GGCUCAUUGCAGUCUCAGAAGGUGCAACCCGCAGUUUCAAUAAAUGAGACUUAUGAAAAGCCUUAAUUGCAUAAUUCUUUCCAUCUGUGCUGCUCCUAUACAAAACCACUUUGCCAUAGCUACCAGCACCAAUCUUACCCACACGAACAUAUUCAUUGACCAUCUUAUUACCAUCCUCAUCCUCUGAGCGAACAAGUUUCUGGGUUUCCUUGACAGGAAAUUGCCUGCAAAUCAUUCCACUCUGCUCUCUUAAUCUUAAAAUUUCUUCUGAACGUUUGACACGGCUUGGCAACUCACCAUCCUCCCCAUAGGCAGUGUCAGCGACCUCACCAUUAUAUGAGCCAUCAUAAUCAU
rnacentral:misc_RNA from 1 species